rnacentral:snRNA from 1 species
AUGCCUUUGUUACAAGUGGUUAAUUUGUAAAUUUGUAUGGUAGUAGUAAUUAAAUAAAAAAAAAAAAAAAAAAAAUCUGUUCUUAUCAGUUUAAUAUCUGAUACGUCUCCUACCCGGGGACUACAUAUUAAAUUGAUUUUUGGAUCACGGAGCUGGAGCCGGGGCUUGCUCUGUCCACUCCACGCAUCGGCCUGGUAUUGCAGUGUCUCCAGGAACGGUGUGCUCCCU